rnacentral:rRNA from 1 species
UACGUAGGAGGCGAGCGUUGUCCGGAUUUACUGGGCGUAAAGCGCGCGCAGGCGGCACUUCAAGUAAGGUGUGAAAUCUCCCUGCUCAACGGGGAGGGUGCACUUUAGACUGGGGAGCUAGAGGACGGUAGAGGGGGGUGGAAUUGCUGGUGUAGCGGUGAAAUGCGUAGAGAUCAGGAGGAAUACCGAUGGCGAAGGCAGUGCUCUGGGCUAACACUGACGCUGAGGUGCGAAAGCGUGGGGAGCGAACGGG